UACGGAGGAUCCAAGCGUUAUCCGGAUUCAUUGGGUUUAAAGGGUGCGUAGGCGGACUGAUAAGUCAGCGGUGAAAUCUCUCAGCUUAACUGAGAAACUGCCGUUGAUACUGUCAGUCUUGAGUACAGAUGAUGUGGGCGGAAUAUGACAUGUAGUGGUGAAAUACUUAGAUAUGUCAUAGAACACCGAUUGCGAAGGCAGCUCACAAAACUGUCACUGACGCUGAGGCACGAAAGCGUGGGGAU
rnacentral:rRNA from 1 species